UACGUAGGGGGCAAGCGUUGUCCGGAAUCAUUGGGCGUAAAGAGCGUGUAGGCGGCCCGAUAAGUCCGCCGUGAAAGUCCAGGGCUCAACCCUGGAAUGCCGGUGGAAACUGUCGGGCUGGAGUCCGGAAGAGGCGAGUGGAAUUCCUGGUGUAGCGGUGAAAUGCGCAGAUAUCAGGAGGAACACCAAUAGCGAAGGCAGCUCGCUGGGACGGUACUGACGCUGAGGCGCGAAAGCGUGGGGAGCGAACAGG
rnacentral:rRNA from 1 species